GCUUACGGCCAUACCAACCUGGCUAUGCCCGAUCUCGUCUGAUCUCGGAAGCUAAGCAGGUUUGGGGCUGGUUAGUACUUGGAUGGUAGACCGCCUGGGAAUACCAGGUGCUGUAAGCU
rnacentral:rRNA from 1 species